rnacentral:rRNA from 13 species
GUUAAGUGACUAAGCGUAUACGGUGGAUGCCUUGGCAGUUAGAGGCGAUGAAGGACGUGUAAGUCUGCGAAAAGCUGUGGUGAGCCGACAAAAUGCAUUUGAGCCACAGAUGUCCGAAUGGGGAAACCCACCUAUUUAUAGGUAUCGUUACAUGAAUAUAUAGUGUAACGAGGCGAACGAGGGGAACUGAAACAUCUAAGUACCCUUAGGAAAAGAAAUCAACCGAGAUUCCCCUAGUAGCGGCGAGCGAACGGGGAUUAGCCCUUAAGCAAUUAUGAACGUAGUGGAAGCCUCUGGGAAGUGGCGCGAUACAAGGUGAUAGCCCUGUACACGAAGUGUUUGUUUUUGUGAAAUCGAGUAGGUCGGGACACGUGUUAUCUUGACUGAAUAUGGGGGGACCAUCCUCCAAGGCUAAAUACUCCUAACUGACCGAUAGUGAACCAGUACCGUGAGGGAAAGGCGAAAAGAACCCCUGUGAGGGGAGUGAAAUAGAACCUGAAACCGUAUACGUACAAGCAGUGGGAGCAGACUUGUUCUGUGACUGCGUACCUUUUGUAUAAUGGGUCAGCGACUUAUAUUUAGUAGCAAGGUUAAGCGAAUAGCGGAGCCGUAGCGAAAGCGAGUGUUAACUGCGCGUUUAGUUGCUAGGUAUAGACCCGAAACCCGGUGAUCUAGCCAUGGGCAGGUUGAAGGUUGAGUAACAUCAACUGGAGGACCGAACCCACUAACUUUGAAAAGUUAGGGGAUGACUUGUGGCUGGGGGUGAAAGGCCAAUCAAACCGGGAGAUAGCUGGUUCUCCCCGAAAUCUAUUUAGGUAGAGCCUCGGACGAAUUCCAUUGGGGGUAGAGCACUGUUAAGGCUAGGGGGUCAUCCCGACUUACCAACCCUUUGCAAACUCCGAAUACCAAUGAGAACUAUCCGGGAGACACACGGCGGGUGCUAACGUCCGUCGUGAAGAGGGAAACAACCCAGACCGCCAGCUAAGGUCCCAAAAUAUUGCUAAGUGGGAAACGAUGUGGGAAGGCAUAGACAGCUAGGAGGUUGGCUUAGAAGCAGCCACCCUUUAAAGAAAGCGUAAUAGCUCACUAGUCGAGUCGGCCUGCGCGGAAGAUGUAACGGGGCUAAGCAAUAUACCGAAGCUGCGGAUACGUGUUUACACGUAUGGUAGGGGAGCGUUGUGUAAGUGGAUGAAGGUGGAUUGAGAAGUCUGCUGGACAUAUCACAAGUGCGAAUGCUGACAUGAGUAACGAUAAUGGGAGUGAAAAACUCCCACGCCGGAAGACCAAGGUUUCCUGUCCCAUGCUAAUCAGGGCAGGGUAAGUCGGCCCCUAAGGCGAGGCAGAAAUGCGUAGUCGAUGGGAAACGGAUUAAUAUUUCCGUACUUAUAUAAUCAGUGAUGGAGGGACGGAGAAGGCUAAGCAAGCUUGGCGUUGGUUGUCCAAGUGAAAGCAAGUAGGCCGAGAAUUUAGGUAAAUCCGGAUUCUUAAAGCUGAGAUGCGAGACGAGCUACUACGGUAGUGAAGUUGUUGAUGCCCUGCUUCCAGGAAAAGCUUCUAAACUUAUGAUUAUAUGAACCGUACCCCAAACCGACACAGGUGGUCAGGUAGAGAAUACUAAGGCGCUUGAGAGAACUCGGGUGAAGGAACUCGGCAAAAUUGUACCGUAACUUCGGGAGAAGGUACGCCCUUGUUUGUGAUAGGACUUGCUCCUUGAGCAGAUGAGGGCCGCAGUGACCAGGUGGCUGGGACUGUUUAUUAAAAACACAGCACUCUGCUAACUCGCAAGAGGACGUAUAGGGUGUGACACCUGCCCGGUGCCGGAAGGUUAAUUGAUGGGGUUAUCUUCGGAGAAGCUCUUGAUCGAAGCCCCGGUAAACGGCGGCCGUAACAAUAACGGUCCUAAGGUAGCGAAAUUCCUUGUCGGGUAAGUUCCGACCUGCACGAAUGGUGUAACCAUGGCCACGCUGUCUCCACCCGAGACUCAGUGAAAUUGAAAUCGCAGUGAAGAUGCUGUGUACCCGCACCUAGACGGAAAGACCCCGUGAACCUUUACUACAGCUUGGCACUGAACAUUGAACCUACAUGUGUAGGAUAGGUGGGAGGCUUCGAAGCACAGUCGCUAGAUUGUGUGGAGCCGUCCUUGAAAUACCACCCUUGUAUGUUUGAUGUUCUAACAUUGGUCCCUUAUCGGGAUUAUGGACAGUGUCUGGUGGGUAGUUUGACUGGGGCGGUCUCCUCCCAAAUAGUAACGGAGGAGCACGAAGGUUAGCUAAUCACGGUCGGACAUCGUGAGGUUAGUGCAAUGGCAUAAGCUAGCUUAACUGCGAGACAGACACGUCGAGCAGGUACGAAAGUAGGUCAUAGUGAUCCGGUGGUUCUGUAUGGAAGGGCCAUCGCUCAACGGAUAAAAGGUACUCCGGGGAUAACAGGCUGAUACCGCCCAAGAGUUCAUAUCGACGGCGGUGUUUGGCACCUCGAUGUCGGCUCAUCACAUCCUGGGGCUGAAGUCGGUCCCAAGGGUAUGGCUGUUCGCCAUUUAAAGUGGUACGCGAGCUGGGUUUAGAACGUCGUGAGACAGUUCGGUCCCUAUCUGGUGUGGGCGUUGGAUGAUUGAUGGGAGCUGCUCCUAGUACGAGAGGACCGGAGUGGACGAACCGCUGGUGUUCGGGUUGUCAUGCCAAUGGCAUUGCCCGGUAGCUACGUUCGGAACGGAUAACCGCUGAAAGCAUCUAAGCGGGAAGCCGGCCCAAAGAUGAGUCAUCCCUGACUUUUAAAGUCCGGAAGGGUUGUUAUAGACGAUGACGUUGAUAGGCAGGAUGUGGAAGCGUUGUAAGGCGUUAAGCUAACCUGUACUAAUUGCCCGA